AGCACCUUGCUGCCUUCAUUAUGUGUGAAAAGCUGAAGUAUCUACAAGUGUUCACAUAUCUGCAGAGGAGCGAGCUUUUGUGGGUGCCUGGCAUCCGGACAGGGUCGAACCAUAAAAUUCCCACAUGGACACUCUUAGCAUUU
rnacentral:lncRNA from 12 species